UACGAAGGGGGCUAGCGUUGUUCGGAUUUACUGGGCGUAAAGCGCACGUAGGCGGAUCGAUCAGUCAGGGGUGAAAUCCCAGGGCUCAACCCUGGAACUGCCUUUGAUACUGUCGAUCCGGAGUAUGGAAGAGGUGAGUGGAAUUCCGAGUGUAGAGGUGAAAUUCGUAGAUAUUCGGAGGAACACCAGUGGCGAAGGCGGCUCACUGGUCCAUUACUGACGCUGAGGCGCGAAAGCGUGGGGAGCAAACAGG
rnacentral:rRNA from 1 species